GGCUUCUAGGAUUUGCGCUGUGGGCUUAUCGUUUACUGGGGUUGCUGAAGUUUAAAAGGAAAACGGGCAAUAACGUGUCUGAGUCAACUCUUCUUGAAGAUGACAUCUCAUUCUGUCUUGCUAUUUAGGCCUGAGUGUCAACUUGUCAAGACCACGACUAUUGGAAAACUGUUUGAUGGCUGAAACUCUGUGGUGGAGCCCUGCUGUGCUGUAUCACAAAGUCACUUGAAAACCUAAAAUUCAAGUUCAAUAAAACAUUGAUAUUUU
rnacentral:lncRNA from 1 species